rnacentral:lncRNA from 1 species
CCCAAUUCCCAUCUCCUGCUGACAGACCCAACCAGAACCGAGGAAAGGGUAAGAACAGAGACUCAGCAAAAGUAAGAGUGUAGCCUAAAACAAGUGGGAGCACCUCACCCUGAUCCCAGUUCCUAGACUGAAAUCCUCGUGACCUCUGGGAUGGUUACUGUUUCUAACUUGACAGAAUUCAAAAUCGCCUGGGAAAUGAGACUCUGAGCACACCCGUGAGGGAUUAUCUACAUUAAGGUUAGUCUCUGAGAAUGUCUGUAGGAAAUUGU